rnacentral:rRNA from 1 species
AUUGAACGCUGGCGGAAUGCUUUACACAUGCAAGUCGAACGGUAGAGGGGGCAACCCCUCGAGAGUGGCGAACGGGUGAGUAAUAUAUCGGAACGUGCCCAGUCGUGGGGGAUAACGUAGCGAAAGUUACGCUAAUACCGCAUACGAUCUAAGGAUGAAAGCGGGGGAUCGCAAGACCUCGCGCGAUUGGAGCGGCCGAUAUCAGAUUAGGUAGUUGGUGGGGUAAAGGCUCACCAAGCCAACGAUCUGUAGCUGGUCUGAGAGGACGACCAGCCACACUGGAACUGAGACACGGUCCAGUCUCCUACGGGAGGCAGCAGUGGGGAAUUUUGGACAAUGGACGCAAGUCUGAUCCAGCCAUUCCGCGUGCAGGAUGAAGGCCCUCGGGUUGUAAACUGCUUUUGUACGGAACGAAAAGGUCUCUCUUAAUACGGGGGACUCAUGACGGUACCGUAAGAAUAAGCACCUGCUAACUACGUGCCAGCAGCCGCGGUAA